GACGGACGCUGGCGGCGUGCUUAACACAUGCAAGUCGAACGGUGAAGCGCCUUCCUUUUUGGUGGGUGUGGAUGAGUGGCGAACGGGUGAGUAACACGUGAGUAACCUGCCCCCUUCUUCUGGAUAACCGCAUGAAAGUGUGGCUAAUACGGGAUAUUCUGAGUCUGUCGCAUGAUGGGUCUGGGAAAGAUAUUGUUUCGGUGGGGGAUGGGCUCGCGGCCUAUCAGCUUGUUGGUGGGGUGAUGGCCUACCAAGGCGGUGACGGGUAGCCGGCCUGAGAGGGUGGACGGUCACACUGGGACUGAGACACGGCCCAGACUCCUACGGGAGGCAGCAGUGGGGAAUAGUGCACAAUGGGCGCAAGCCUGAUGCAGCGACGCCGCGUGAGGGAUGGAGGCCUUCGGGGUGUGAACCUCUUUCGCCAGUGAAGCAGGCCUGCCUCGUUUGUGGGUGGGUUGACGGUAGCUGGAUAAGAAGCGCCGGCUAACUACGUG
rnacentral:rRNA from 1 species